AUGUGCACGUGGGCUUACAGAUGCCUCCGUGUGGCACAUGAUGACAGUGUGAGUCCUAGCCCCAGACUCAUCCUGCUAGCCCAGGCUGCUGUUGAGGUGUUCCCUCUGAAUUUAAAAGGUGACCUGCAUGGACCAGUAGAGAUAAGGUGUCAGUUUUGCUUCUGUGGUUUGUUCUGCUUUUCGUUUCCCUGA
rnacentral:lncRNA from 1 species